rnacentral:rRNA from 1 species
ACGAACGCUGGCGGCGUGGAUAAGACAUGCAAGUCGAACGAGAGAAUUGCUAGCUUGCUAAUAAUUCUCUAGUGGCGCACGGGUGAGUAACACGUGAGUAACCUGCCCCCGAGAGCGGGAUAGCCCUGGGAAACUGGGAUUAAUACCGCAUAGUAUCGAAAGAUUAAAGCAGCAAUGCGCUUGGGGAUGGGCUCGCGGCCUAUUAGUUAGUUGGUGAGGUAACGGCUCACCAAGGCGAUGACGGGUAGCCGGUCUGAGAGGAUGUCCGGCCACACUGGAACUGAGACACGGUCCAGACACCUACGGGUGGCAGCAGUCGAGAAUCAUUCACAAUGGGGGAAACCCUGAUGGUGCGACGCCGCGUGGGGGAAUGAAGGUCUUCGGAUUGUAAACCCCUGUCAUGUGGGAGCAAAUUAAAAAGAUAGUACCUCAAGAGGAAGAGACGGCUAACUCUGUGCCAGCAGCCGCGGUAAUACAGAGGUCUCAAGCGUUGUUCGGAAUCACUGGGCGUAAAGCGUGCGUAGGCUGUUUCGUAAGUCGUGUGUGAAAGGCGCGGGCUCAACCCGCGGACGGCACAUGAUACUGCGAGACUAGAGUAAUGGAGGGGGAACCGGAAUUCUCGGUGUAGCAGUGAAAUGCGUAGAUAUCGAGAGGAACACUCGUGGCGAAGGCGGGUUCCUGGACAUUAACUGACGCUGAGGCACGAAGGCCAGGGGAGCGAAAGGGAUUAGAUACCCCUGUAGUCCUGGCAGUAAACGGUGCACGCUUGGUGUGCGGGGAAUCGACCCCCUGCGUGCCGGAGCUAACGCGUUAAGCGUGCCGCCUGGGGAGUACGGUCGCAAGAUUAAAACUCAAAGAAAUUGACGGGGACCCGCACAAGCGGUGGAGUAUGUGGCUUAAUUCGAUGCAACGCGAAGAACCUUACCUGGGCUUGACAUGUAAUGAACAACAUGUGAAAGCAUGCGACUCUUCGGAGGCGUUACACAGGUGCUGCAUGGCCGUCGUCAGCUCGUGUCGUGAGAUGUUUGGUUAAGUCCAGCAACGAGCGCAACCCCUGUUGCCAGUUACCAGCACGUGAAGGUGGGGACUCUGGCGAGACUGCCCAGAUCAACUGGGAGGAAGGUGGGGACGACGUCAGGUCAGUAUGGCCCUUAUGCCCAGGGCUGCACACGUACUACAAUGCCCAGUACAGAGGGGGCCGAAGCCGCGAGGCGGAGGAAAUCCUAAAAACUGGGCCCAGUUCGGACUGUAGGCUGCAACCCGCCUACACGAAGCCGGAAUCGCUAGUAAUGGCGCAUCAGCUACGGCGCCGUGAAUACGUUCCCGGGUCUUGUACACACCGCCCGUCACAUCAUGGAAGCCGGUCGCACCCGAAGUAUCUGAAGCCAACCGCAAGGAGGCAGGGUCCUAAGGUGAGACUGGUAACUGGGAUG